GGAUUAUAGCUCAGUGGAAGAGUGCUUGCCUAGCAUGUGUGAGGCACUGGGUUCAAUUCUCAGCACCA
rnacentral:tRNA from 1 species